rnacentral:rRNA from 1 species
CCUACGGGAGGCAGCAGUGAGGAAUAUUGGUCAAUGGGCGGAAGCCUGAACCAGCCAAGUAGUGUGCGGGAUGAAGGCCCUACGGGUCGUAAACCGCUUUUGCACGGGGAUAACACCCGCCACUUGUGGAGGUCUGCAGGUACCGUGCGAAUAAGGGCCGGCUAAUUCCGUGCCAGCAGCCGCGGUAAUACGGAAGGCCCGAGCGUUAUCCGGAUUCAUUGGGCUUAAAGGGAGCGUAGGCGGGCGUUCAAGUCAGCGGGAAAAUCGCGCGGCUCAACCGCGCCCCGCAGUUGAAACUGGACGCCUUGAGUUCACAUCAGGCAGGCGGAAUUCGUGGUGUAGCGGUGAAAUGCAUAGAUAUCACGAGGAACCCCGAUUGCGAAGGCAGCCUGCCGGGGUGCGACUGACGCUGAGGCUCGAAGGUGCGGGUAUCAAACAGGAUUAGAUACCCUAGUAGUC